GCCGGGAAACGUAGUCUCCCUUCGCGGCAGCGCGGAGGCGCGGGGCCGCGGUGGGACUGCAAGGGGCGGUCCUUGGGCGAACCCACGGGGGACCGGCGGGGGGAGCGCUGUGCCGCGCUGCGCUGACGCCUCCGCCCUUGCUGCGGAGAGGUGCGCCGCUCGCACCGUGGGUUGCAGGAUUGCAACCAGGUAACUCCCGUUCGGUAACUGCAAGAUUCACUUUGAUGAAGAACAUGACAAGAUAUCUGCAAAGGCUCACUUAUACUAGAUAUUCCUCAUGCAUGAAGAGGAGACUUAGGAAAAGAGAACAAAACAGUCCCAGAAAGCAGGUUGUUGGGAAGUGUCAGUGACCAACAUGUCCUGUGUGAAAUGAUCUUAUCACCUGCAAGUGGAAUGCUCCAAGACCUUUGCCAAACACCCCCAGAGUCUGUGGUUUUUACAGAGGUACAUGAGAACAUUUUUGCCUGAGAAAGUUUACUUUUCUACAAUAUGCAACAAAUAACGGAAAUUAAACCAGCCUUCAUUUCAAUCUCUCCAGAGGACACAGACAUGGCUUGAAGAAUGUAAAGAUUUUUUUACAAAGCCACUAAUAAACCUUGUGAUCUUCUUCUCCCAGGUAUAAUUAUUCCUUCUGAAUGCUGCCUGUAAUGCCUAAGGGAAUGAGAAGUACAGGGGUUGCUGAUGUGGUUGAACCUUCUCUUCUAUUUCACUGUUUAGCAUCUUACCUGUCCAGAAUUUAUCCCUUGAGUUAAGAAGUGUUGUUUAUUUUGAUCAUUUUUAUCCAAGUAUGUGCAGCAACUGGUAGGCAUACCUGGAUGUCUGAUAUUAACAAUAGCUUAUUCCAUUACUUUGUAUCAUCAUCUUCAUUUGUUACAAGAUAUUUCAUGAACUAUUUAAUUCUGGAUUUGCAAAUGUGAAAAGUGCUGAAUUAGAUAAAAAAGGUGCAGAGGAUUUAAUAGCCUAAACCUACCCCAAAAGAUUUCUCAGAAUGCAUCAGAAAUAUGUUCUUAAAACCAGCUGUGAUAUUCUCAUCAAACU